rnacentral:rRNA from 1 species
GACAGAGGUGCCAAGCGUUAGGCGGAAUCACUGGGCUUAAAGCGUGUGUAGGCGGAUCGUUAAGUACCUUGUGAAAUCCCACGGCUCAACCGUGGAACUGCUGGGUAUACUGGCGAUCUUGGGCCAACUAGGGGCAGCCGGAACAAGCGGUGGAGCGGUGAAAUGCGUAGAUAUCGCUUGGAACGCCGAAGGUGAAAACAGGCUGCUGGGGUUGUGCCGACGCUGAGACACGAAAGCCAGGGGAGCAAACGGG